GCGUAAGCGCGCGCAGGUGGUUUCUUAAGUCUGAUGUGAAAGCCCACGGCUCAACCGUGGAGGGUCAUUGGAAACUGGGAGACUUGAGUGCAGAAGAGGAAAGUGGAAUUCCAUGUGUAGCGGUGAAAUGCGUAGAGAUAUGGAGGAACACCAGUGGCGAAGGCGACUUUCUGGUCUGUAACUGACACUGAGGCGCGAAAGCGUGGGGAGCAAACAGGAUUAGAUACCCUGGUAGUCCACGCCGUAAACGAUGAGUGCUAAGUGUUAGAGGGUUUCCGCCCUUUAGUGCUGAAGUUAACGCAUUAAGCACUCCGCCUGGGGAGUACGGCCGCAAGGCUGAAACUCAAAGGAAUUGACGGGGGCCCGCACAAGCGGUGGAGCAUGUGGUUUAAUUCGAAUCAUCGCCAAGAACCUUACCAGGUCUUGACAUCCUCUGAGGACCCUAGAGAUACGCCUUCUCCUUCGGAAG
rnacentral:rRNA from 1 species